UACGGAGGGGGCUAGCGUUGUUCGGAAUUACUGGGCGUAAAGCGCACGUAGGCGGCUUUGCAAGUUAGAGGUGAAAGCCCGGGGCUCAACUCCGGAAUUGCCUUUAAAACUGCAUCGCUAGAAUUGUGGAGAGGUAAGUGGAAUUCCGAGUGUAGAGGUGAAAUUCGUAGAUAUUCGGAAGAACACCAGUGGCGAAGGCGACUUACUGGACGCAUAUUGACGCUGAGGUGCGAAAGCGUGGGGAGCAAACAGG
rnacentral:rRNA from 1 species